AGUCAGUUAGAGAAAUAACUUAUAUUCUUACAAGAAUUCUUUUGCCUUUUUUCAUUUUAAAUUAUAAAUGUUGAGAUUUGAAACCAUACCAUUAACAUAUAUAAAAUCUCAAUUACUAAUAUUAUUACACAAUCAAUGCUUCAUUUUAAAUUAUAAAUGUUAAGAUUUGAAACCUUGCCAUUAAAAUAUAUAAAACCAUGAACCAGAUGACAAAGGGUUUCUCAAGGGUAGAAGAAUCAUUUAAUGACUUGGCUCUUGAUGUGCCUGAUGCCCGAAAACAGUUUCUAGCAUAUGUUGAAAAAGCAAAGACUAUCGGAUGCUUGGAUUCAUCAUUUCAUUAUGGCAAUUCCAUAAACGAUAAAGAGAAUGGGGUCUGCCAAUAAUAACGAGUUUACAGGGAAGUUGAGUUCCUUCUAGUUGUGCUCAAUUGUUUUGUUUUUGCCAUUACAGCUGCUGUAGUUAUGUAAAGAGAAUGGGGUCUGCCAAUAAUAAUGAGCCUGUAGGCACUAAAUUUGCAGUUCAAAUUCGAAGCCAUGCUCAAAAGUUUUUCUCUAAGGCUCAUUGCUUUGAGUUCAUUACAAGAUUUCCUUGAUUAAGUAAAUGUAUUAUAUCUUUUAUUACCAAGAUUUACUUGAUUAAGAAAAUGCAUUGUAUUUUUUAUUACCUUGCAA